rnacentral:rRNA from 1 species
UACGUAGGUCCCGAGCGUUGUCCGGAUUUAUUGGGCGUAAAGCGAGCGCAGGUGGUUUAUUAAGUCUGGUGUAAAAGGCAGUGGCUCAACCAUUGUAUGCAUUGGAAACUGGUAGACUUGAGUGCAGGAGAGGAGAGUGGAAUUCCAUGUAUAGCGGUGAAAUGCGUAGAUAUAUGGAGAAACACCGGUGGCGAAAGCGGCUCUCUGGCCUGUAACUGACACUGAGGCUCGAAAGCGUGGGGAGCAAACAGG